rnacentral:rRNA from 1 species
GAUGAACGCUGGCGGCGUGCCUAAUACAUGCAAGUCGAGCGAACGGACGAGAAGCUUGCUUUUCUGAUGUUAGCGGCGGACGGGUGAGUAACACGUGGAUAACCUACCUAUAAGACUGGGAUAACUUCGGGAAACCGGAGCUAGUACCGGAUAAUAUUUUGAACCGCAUGGUUCAAAAGUGAAAGACGGUCUUGCUGUCACUUAUAGAUGGAUCCGCGCUGCAUUAGCUAGUUGGUAAGGUAACGGCUUACCAAGGCAACGAUGCAUAGCCGACCUGAGAGGGUGAUCGGCCACACUGGAACUGAGACACGGUCCAGACUCCUACGGGAGGCAGCAGUAGGGAAUCUUCCGCAAUGGGCGAAAGCCUGACGGAGCAACGCCGCGUGAGUGAUGAAGGUCUUCGGAUCGUAAAGCUCUGUUAUUAGGGAAGAACAUAUGUGUAAGUAACUGUGCACAUCUUGACGGUACCUAAUCAGAAAGCCACGGCUAACUACGUG